UGGAUACAAUCAAUUCCUGACCUCGCGCGAGUGUUAGAAAAAUCACUCGACUUCUACCGAGAUCCCUAGUUAGCAAAGCAGCUACUCGACCUAGCAUACUAGUAUCCAUCUCAAAAAGGAAUCCUGAGUUCAUGCAACUAGGGUUUCAGGCAACUCCUACACUUAAGUGUACAGUAUAAACCUACAAUCAUUAAGUGCACUAAAAUAGCAUAUAUAACGGUUAUGCAUAAAACCGGGGCUUGCUUUUAAUUUAACACUUAGAUAGUGUUUACUGGGGGUACUCGCUUGGCGAGCAUCCACUGGUUAGGUACAUUCUUCAGGUCGUCCACCAACUGCAUCUUGUGGGUGGCACCACAUCACUUGCACGCUCAUCCUCUCUCGGUCCUAAAUGAGGUGCAAGAUGCAUAUGUAUGAAUAUAAUGAAAUAGCACAAGAUACUUUAAGUACAUGUUAGCGAAUUAAACACUAAGUAGCGAGACAUCAUAAGCAACCACACACACUAGCGUUAGCUACUACAUAUCAUUGAGCGCACAACAUUAACACCACUAAAAUACGACAAACAUUUUGUAUAUUUACGCAACACAAAUACAACCUCAUAAGUACGAUCAUUUAUUUAAUUUGCUACGGCUUUUCAUUAGUUCUUCUAUUUAUCACACAAAAGCAUACUAAGCACAAGUUCAACAGAGGAGGGAUUCCUAUCCACAACCAACUACUCAAGCAAGCACAUUAAUUAUGGAGCGCAUGUUAACCUAAGUUUAGACAUUACAAGUCUAUGUAUGUUAAGUGCUAACUAAGCAUUUUUAGCUAAAUGGGUGAACUCAACCAUCAAAUGGGCGCUUGCAGAUUUUUGGACAACAGUACAGCAGUUACUUGUUUUAAUCAUAACUUUUCAAAUAUUAAUCCAAAAAUAGCAAACUAGGAUUUUCUGGAAAGUUUAAAAAGUGCUCUACAACUUUGGUAUUGUCAUCACAACAUCAUUCAAUACGUAGCAAGGUCAAAACGUGCUAAUACAACAGCUCUAUCCAAAUUUGGACAGAUUCAGGCUUGCAACUUCAAAAAUUCACAACUAAAGAUUCAGACAUCCAAACAAAGUGAUCUUAGACUUUCUGGAAAGCUAAUUAAAUGUUCUACAAAUUAUUUAUAAACAUCUCAAGGUGAUUGAAUAUUUAACUAAGGAUAAAAUACACUAGAAGACGUUGCUGUCCAAAACUGGACAGAUUCAGACUUCACACUUCAAACGCAUGUAACUUAAUCUUCAGACCACCAAAAAGAGUGAUCCAAGACUUUUUGGAAAGCUUAGAAAAAGCACUACAUAACUUCUAUAAUCACCAAGAAUUGAUUCCAAGUUUAAUUAAAUCAAAUAUUACAGUUUUCGAAAUAUGUUCUGACAGUGGAUAGAACACAGCAAACAGUUUGUAAAAUUCAUAACUCCUAAACUGUCAUUGCUAUGGUUGUGAAAUUGUAACAUAAGAAAGAUAAGGAAAGCAUCUACAACUUUCUUAUAACGACCACGAACAGAUUGUAACAUUAACUUGAGCAAACAAUACAGUUUCUGAAAUCUGUACAGAAUUUGGACAGAUUCAGUUACUGAAUUUGUGAAAAGCAUAACUUCUAAACGAUCAGACUUAUGACUGUCAAAUUUUAACGCAAAUAAGAUAAUAAAGUUAUCUACAACUUUCUUGUGACUACCAAUAACUGAUUUCAAAAUUAACUUAAGCAACCAUUGGAAUCUCUGAAAUCUGUUUAGAAAUCCGACAGAUUCAGGUGCUGGACUUAUGAAAAGCAUAACUCCUAAACGAUCAGGUUUAUGACUGUCAAAUUUUAGUGCAAGCAAGAUAAUAAGGUUAUCUACAACUCUUCUAUAUGACUUUUCUAUAGAAAACAUGAUUUAGUUCUUAAAACAUACAACACGAGGAAAUCACUGUGGGCAGUCCAAAACAGCAACUAAUAAUUUUUAGCUUCUAUUUACUUCAAAAAUCGUCGCGUUCUAGAGACUUGAAUUAUUCUAACACUUACCAUUUGUUAGAGUUAAAACAAUCAAAUGGGGAGCAACAAGUCACUUACAAAUUUCAUCCGAGUCAUUUCGUGCGCUAGAGUUACCACACAAUUAACAAACACAUGCACCAAAAUAAAGUAUUUUGGCACACAUAUCCGACAUCACUCAAAAUUAUGAUGAAGUACUAAUACUUAACUUUAGACCAUCAUGACGUAACCAUUUAACCUCUAAUUGGUUUUAAGGUGUAACUCAAGCAUUCCAUGAAACAUGCAUGAUUUUGUUUACUCCUAUUUUUUCACUAACUCUUGUAAUUAUAAAAGGGGUGUUAUUUUAGCACCAUAUGAAACUAUCUAAUUUGGGGCUGGAAUUUUUAUGAGGUAUAGGUAAUAAGAAAUGAUGACUAAUGUAUAAAUUUCACAUGCUCAGGUUUUAUAUUUUAUUUACUACAAAAAUAACAAUUUGUUAAUGCAAUAAAGCAUGUGAGAGCAAGUUAAAUCUAAAACUAAUUAUUUUCUGUGGAUGCAUGACCAUAUUAAGUUUUCUCAGGCUACUAUAAUAUCAUGUAAGAACAGUGUAACACCAUUUUCCAUUUUUGCAUCUAUACAUUAUUUUUAAAUCAUUUAAAACUACUUAAGGUGCAUUAAACAAGUUAAAUCACUAACCUAAUCAUACAUGCACAACAAUUCAUGAAAUUUGUACCCGUCACCAAGCAUCACACCAAGAGUCUACUGUAAUAAUCUCAACCCAUUUGGAGCACUAGAGCUACAGAUCCAAAAAUAACAAGCAAAUACUUCUUCUUUUCUCUAUUUAAAUUGUUUUAAUUAACACACCAAGAAACCAGUGAACAACAUAUAAGUUUUAUAUUUUUCUUAGAUGGAGUAUGACAGCAUAUAACUAACAAAACAAGUUUCAUCAUUUUUGGAUUUAUAUAAGUAAAAUUAUGGAGAGAAGCAAGUUCGUUUAUUCUCUAAACCUCUUUUAAAGAUUUAAUUUGCACAGACAAAAACGUCUACUAAAACAGGUCAUAUUAUAGAUCUAAUAGGUAGGGCAUUUCAUAUGGAAGCUAACAAAACAAGUCUUACUAUUUUAGGAGCUCCCAAACUCGAGUUAUAGAUUUUAGAAGAAAGUGCAAGAAUCUGAAAUUUCAGCACAUAAGUUUUUGACCCGGAGCUCACCUACACCUUGCUGCCGUAGAGGAGGGGGAGACGCCAUGGGAGGGCUGCCAAGGUGAGGGAGGAGCAUGGGAGGGCUCGGUCGCCAGCUCCAUGGGAGGAGGCUGCUGCUGCAUGGGGAGCUAGAGAGAGAGAUAGAGAGAGAGGAAGGGAGUAGGGAAAGUGGCAUGGGGAG
rnacentral:lncRNA from 1 species